UACGUAGGGCGCAAGCAUUGUCCGGAAUUAUUGGGCGUAAAGAGCUCGUAGGCGGCUUGUCACGUCGGGUGUGAAAGCCCGGGGCUUAACCCCGGGUCUGCAUUCGAUACGGGCAGGCUAGAGUUCGGUAGGGGAGAUCGGAAUUCCUGGUGUAGCGGUGAAAUGCGCAGAUAUCAGGAGGAACACCAAUGGCGAAGGCAGCUCACUGGGACGGUAUUGACGCUGAGACGCGAAAGCGUGGGGAGCAAACAGG
rnacentral:rRNA from 1 species